CUAAUACCGGAUACGACCACUUCGGACAUCCGAUGGUGGUGGAAAGUUCCGGCGGUGAAGGAUGAGCUCGCGGCCUAUCAGCUUGUUGGUGGGGUAACGGCCCACCAAGGCUUCGACGGGUAGCCGGCCUGAGAGGGUGACCGGCCACACUGGGACUGAGACACGGCCCAGACUCCUACGGGAGGCAGCAGUGGGGAAUAUUGGACAAUGGGCGAAAGCCUGAUCCAGCAACGCCGCGUGAGGGAUGACGGCCUUCGGGUUGUAAACCUCUUUCAGCAGGGACGAAGCGCAAGUGACGGUACCUGCAGAAGAAGCACCGGCCAACUACGUGCCAGCAGCCGCGGUAAUACGUAGGGUGCGAGCGUUGUCCGGAAUUAUUGGGCGUAAAGGGCUCGUAGGCGGUCUGUCACGUCGGGAGUGAAAACCUAGGGCUCAACUCUGGGCCUGCUUCCGAUACGGGCAGACUAGAGGUAUGCAGGGGAGAAUGGAAUUCCUGGUGUAGCGGUGAAAUGCGCAGAUAUCAGGAGGAACACCGGUGGCGAAGGCGGUUCUCUGGGCAUUACCUGACGCUGAGGAGCGAAAGUGUGGGGAGCGAACA
rnacentral:rRNA from 1 species